GUUGAGCUGAGAUGUACUAAGAGGGGUCCAAUAUGAAACAAUGCCAUAUUAUGAGAUAACCAAAAAAUCCUUUCAUUGGUAUUACACCUUCAAUCUAAUCGAAGUACCUUUAAGAAUUUUUGAUCUACUUUUCUACUUUACAUCUGAAUUCUUUGAACCUUUCAAAAUUUUAGAUUUGUAUCUCAUAUACAUAACCAUACUAUGAC
rnacentral:lncRNA from 1 species